AGUUGACGACGUGUGUUCAGUGAAAUCGAGUAGGGCGGGACACGUGAUAUCCUGUCUGAAUAUGGGGGGACCAUCCUCCAAGGCUAAAUACUACUGACUGACCGAUAGUGAACCAGUACCGUGAGGGAAAGGCGAAAAGAACCCCUGUGAGGGGAGUGAAAUAGAACCUGAAACCGUGUACGUACAAGCAGUAGGAGCACCUUCGUGGUGUGACUGCGUACCUUUUGUAUAAUGGGUCAGCGACUUAUAUUCAGUGGCAAGGUUAACCAUCUAGGGGAGCCGUAGGGAAACCGAGUCUUAACUGGGCGUUCAGUCUCUGGAUAUAGACCCGAAACCAGGUGAUCUAGCCAUGGGCAGGUUGAAGGUUGAGUAACAUCAACUGGAGGACCGAACCGACUAAUGUUGAAAAAUUAGCGGAUGACUUGUGGCUAGGGGUGAAAGGCCAAUCAAACCUGGAGAUAGCUGGUUCUCCCCGAAAGCUAUUUAG
rnacentral:rRNA from 1 species